CUGUACUACUAAAUGCCCUAAAGGCAUCAGAUCCCAUCCGAUCUUGGAAACUAAUCAGGGCCAUCCCUGGUUAGUACUUGGAUGGAUGACUGCCAACAAAUACCAAUUGCUGUAGGCU
rnacentral:rRNA from 11 species